rnacentral:rRNA from 1 species
AAAGAGAGCCGUAACACAGGUGCUGCAUGGCUGUCGUCAGCUCGUGUCGUGAGAUGUUGGGUUAAGUCCCGCAACGAGCGCAACCCUUAUCAUUAGUUGCUACGCAAGGGCACUCUAAUGAGACUGCCGGUGACAAACCGGAGGAAGGUGGGGAUGACGUCAAGUCCUCAUGGCCCUUAUGGGUAGGGCUUCACACGUCAUACAAUGGUCGGUACAGAGGGUUGCCAAGCCGCGAGGUGGAGCCAAUCCCAGAAAGCCGAUCGUAGUCCGGAUUGUUCUCUGCAACUCGAGAGCAUGAAGUCGGAAUCGCUAGUAAUCGCGGAUCAGAAUGUCGCGGUGAAUACGUUCCCGGGUCUU